AUUGAACGCUGGCGGCAUGCCUUACACAUGCAAGUCGAACGGCAGCGGGGACUUCGGUCCGCCGGCGAGUGGCGAACGGGUGAGUAACGUAUCGGAACGUACCUUUCAGUGGGGGAUAACGUAGCGAAAGUUACGCUAAUACCGCAUAUUCUGUGAGCAGGAAAGCAGGGGAUCGCAAGACCUUGCGCUAAUUGAGCGGCCGAUAUCAGAUUAGCUAGUUGGUGAGGUAAAGGCUCACCAAGGCGACGAUCUGUAGCGGGUCUGAGAGGAUGAUCCGCCACACUGGAACUGAGACACGGUCCAGACUCCUACGGGAGGCAGCAGUGGGGAAUUUUGGACAAUGGGGGCAACCCUGAUCCAGCCAUGCCGCGUGAGUGAAGAAGGCCUCGGUUGUAAGNUCUUCGUCCGGGAGAAUACGUAUGGUUAAGUACCUACGUGUCGGAGUGACGGUACCGGCGAUAAGAAGACACCGGC
rnacentral:rRNA from 1 species